rnacentral:lncRNA from 1 species
ACGCCCACAGCUGAGGAGCCUGGCCACACCCCUUCUCCUGUACCAAGGUUCCGCCCCCUCCCACGACCUUACCAGCUGCACACCCCGGUCUCUGGACCCUUCCCCCCUGCUGACCAGAGUGCGGCGAUCAGCCAUGCUUUAUGUCCAGCAGAGAGCGCUUCGUCUCUGUCCUCAGCAGGUGAGGAGCCUCCUACCAUGACCUCAGCCUCCUCCCCUGGGGAUGUUGAGGCCUGAGCACCUGCUGGCCUGGCCAGUCCCAGGGCUCAGCUUCCCGCCAAGCCCUCCCCAGGCGUCCCUCGUGCUGAGCAGCGGGAGUGUGCGGUGCAGCAGAAGGGAGAAGAAGAAAUUCCAAGGAAAGAAGAAAUAUGGACAAGCAAAUAUGCUUAUGGUCAUUCGAAGCCAGAUGGUUUAGCAUGCUUGAUUGCUAUUGCUGUCUCCUCAGAGCUCUGUCAUUGCAAGUCAAGCUUCAGGAGAUUCUGCUGCAUGGAAGGAGGGUGGAGCAGCAAAGGGUGUUGGAAAUCCAUGGACACUUUGAACUCUACUCCAACUGUUUCAUCUUCACCUUGACCUGGACACAGAGCCUCUGAGCCAAGGCGACUCAGGUGAGUGUACACUGGUUUGUGUGGCACAAUGCCAUGUCUGCCUACACCCUCAUGUCUGUGAGAUCUGUGGCCACUGCACAGCUCCCUGCUUGAUUCCUGGAUUCAUUGACUCCAGUUAAAAU